GGCCGGGUAGCUUAGUUGGUAGAGCAACGGACUUUUAAUCCGCAGGUCGUGGGUUCGACCCCCACCCCGGUCA
rnacentral:tRNA from 1 species